CAUAAAAAUAAAAACAUCAUUCACUUACACCAUUUUGAUUUUACUCGUGAUCUGUUUCGUGUGCUGCUGAAAAAUUUUAAUACUUUCUAUCGGAUUUUGUUGUUAGAAUAGGAAAUAAAAUCUGAAAUGUUUUCCGGGUGGAGUUGCGUAUUAUUGUGCCACCCAAAUGGAAAAGAGAUGUCUGCCGGAUAGUGAUCCGAUAAGUGAACGGAGUUUCGAAUUGGAUGUAAGGAAGUCGAGAAAUCAAAAAAGGUGCAAUGAUCACCAGUAUGCCAAGCAACCGGAAUCGUCAUUUGUGCACACCGGAGCUAAUGUGAUGUAUACAACCUUCCCCUUUGGAUCAACAUCAAAUUCGGGCAUUGUAAAACGGUUUCCGUUUUCCGACAUUUCCAGUGAGUAUUUCCUUGCUGCACACUCCGAUGAGCUUCUGAUAUUUAAGCAGAAAAACUUUCCGGUACUUUGUGAUCUUAUAAAAUUUUUUAGAAAAUCGUGGCAACCUGUUGAGGGGGUGAAUACAAAUAUUUUUAAUUUCAUGAAGUCUAGUGAUAAGGCCUGCAUCUAGUAUAAUGGCUAGUUUAUUUUAUCCCCAAAAAUCGCGGGCUGCUGCUGCUAUACCUAUAGCUCUCCUGUUUUGUGUAGAUGGAAACCACUGGAAUAUUGACUGAUUUGAUUGUGUAUGUUCGGAAAGUCCAAGAAGAAGGCCGGAAAAAUAACACGUGAGCACAGAAGGAAAGUGCAGUGCAUCGUUCUGGAUUUGCAGUCCCAUGAUCUAUUCAUCUUUUUCUAUUUAAGAUUUAUUUUAUACAUUGUUUUUCAAGGAAGCAAAACUCUUAAUUUGUUAGGUUGUCGUGUGCGAUGUUGGUCCAAGAAGGACAAGCUCGUAUUAUUGGUGGGUUUUGAUGCAUUAAAGAAGUGGUGCAUUCCAGAUCAUCACACCCAAAAAUGCUAAUAAUCGUCAGCGAUUAGGUUAGUGGAAAACAUAAGAGACGACAGCUAAUGUUGUUUGGUACACUUAUUGAACUAAAUUCUUCAUAAAAAUAGAAAUAACUUUCCUUUUUUACUUUAUUUCUUAAGCACAUUCCUUAAUAUGAAAACGCCGUCUUUAAAUGCAGGAUGCCGUCAAUGAUUUUGCAAUAAUCAUUACCCAUUCGUUCGUUCUAAACAAAAUAUGAGUCCUAUGCGUUCGCUUGAUGUUUUACUCGACGUAAGUUAAUUUCAACGACCAAUUUUUUGUAAACUAAUUUAUUUACACAAGUAGGUGUGGAAGUUAAUGAUCUACCUUUCAUGGAAAAAAUAAAAUCAUUCGAACAGUUCUGAAUGGUAUUAUAACAAAAUUCUUUGUAGUAGAUUGCAGAAAAUUCACGGAUAAUUCGAGGGUGCUUAGCAUAAAGAAUUUCUGAAACAUGUUAGGUAUAAAUAUAAUUGUAUUCACACAAUACAGCAGUUCUAUCUUUAAACACAGUGCAUUAAUUGAAAAAAACCUUACUUAGUAGCGUUAGGCAAAAUACCGAUAAAGACCGUUUGUGUUAAAUCCAAAUUUCACUAAACAUUAUCGGUAGAUUCCUUCUUAAGUUCAUUAUUCAGUUGGUGGCCGUCUUCGGCUCGUGUUGUUUGCAUCUCCUUGCUGUACGUUCGCCCGUGCUUCGAGAAACAUACACAAUAUUUAAACUUUUCAGUACAGUGA